rnacentral:lncRNA from 1 species
AGCACUCGCGCCCUUGGGGGCUAGCGUUUGGCCGGAGCUACACACUCUUUACUCACGCACGCACACCGCCGUACACAGCACAAUCGUUCACCGUCCCGCCAAAGGCUCGUCUCUCGGGUUCUGCCUAGUGGAAGGAGUCGGACAACGCCGCACGUCACGGGCGUUUCGGAUUUCUUGCUUCCCAAAGGUUUGACGGCGGCCACCGGCGCCCCGGCCCAGCUCUGCUUUCCUUUGCUGACUCCUUCCUUUAGGUGUGAAUUUUAAAAUGCUGAUACCGCCCCAAGAGAGCUGAGUCAAGUGAGGCAAACGUUCGCCUGUUGUUCUCCUGACAGACUCCCUGCAGUGGGCAGGGGAAAUGUGGCCUUGGCCGACAUUAAUGAAGUGCCAGGAUGGAGGGAGGGGGCCUGCUGAUUUGUUCUGUUUUACUUUUUAAGGGUAACUAGAGCGUUACUGGAGUCGUCUGUGGGUUUGGGGAGUAUGUGGCGCGUGUGUGUGUCACACAUUUCACUGGCAACUCCCGCCAACCCCUUCCCAAGAAAUGAAGGCUCUAAUGUGGGCAGUUCUGCAACAAAGGUGAAACUUCCCCAAAUCACGAUUCCCCGCAAGAUGAGAGAGCAGGUGCAGCAUCCAUUUUCCCACUAUCACGCUUGAGAUGGUGGCUUUGGGCACUGCCGGGUGCCCCGACAUCCUUCCCAGAGCCCAGCCUUCCCACCCAGGCCCGGCCCUGCGCGGCCGCCUGCCUUUGCAUCAGAGACCGCGGCUGUGCCAUUGCCAAGGUGGGCAGCGCCGCCUCGCUUCCCCAUUCCUCCGUCUCCCACGCCUCUUGCGUGUUUGAGUCGCGAAGUGAUGGACUUUAAAUCUCAGAGGAGGAAUGAGAAACUUGGUUAGUGGCUCUCUUGGCAUGUUCGUAGCCCUGUGGUUGAAGUGGCUGAAACCUGCGUUGAGCCUCAGUCCAAGCAGCUGGGGCCACACCAGUUUGCAAAAGCGGAUGUGGCAGUUUCCACCGCAGCAGCAGCCUGCUGGCGCCUCAUCAGAUUCUCCUUUGGAGGAAGUAUCUUCUUCCCUUCAUUCUCGGUGAAUGGCAUCCAGAGAUAACCAAAAUCAGGUGUAUCUAGUUUCAAGUUCUGUCUUGCAACCGUGAUAAUUGGAGGAUGCAAACUUUACACUUUCUUCUCUAGCUGUCUACCACCACUGCUGCGCUUGUGGAUGACUGCAGGAACACCGGGUACUUGCCACAAGUAUCUCUCCAGAUUCAUCAGCCUUUCACCUGUGACAAGCUCAGUCAAGAAGUGGCUCCUAAGUAAAAGCUGGGGAAGAACAAGGAAGAUAGAGCUCAGAGUAGAAAGCUGUGAAGUUCUGCACAACAGGUCCCCUUGGCCUGCUCUAACAGUUGGAAGGUGGGGGAAGCAUUCAUUUACUCAACAAAUAUAUACUGAGUGCCUUUUGCAUGCUAGGCACGCUUCUAGGGGUUGAGGACACAGCAGAGAGCACAAACAACAAUUCCAGCCCUCGUGGAGCUUACCUCUUCCACGUGGGAAAGACAGAUGACAGGCAUGGUAGCUCAUGUGGAAGCUUCCCGAGGCCCUCACCCAGAAGCAGAUGCUGGAGCCAUGCUUGUACAGCUUGCAGAACUAAAGCCCAGCUGGCUUGGUUCCAUGAAUCUUUGCCCUUCUUUCCAUCCACUUCUUCCUGCUUGGACAUUGGUUACCUGGAGAAGCAGAAGCCAUUUUAAGAUGAUGAAAGCAAAAGUUAAAUGUAUGAGAUGAUGGUGCAGAAAGCCAAAAGGGGCCUCCAGAACACUGAGCUUUGUGGAGUCGUGUACCAUAGCUGUAUUGCCGACCUCUGAACUUCCUGCUGAGAUAAAAAACAAUCCUUAUGUGUUUAUACUACUUUUAUUUCAGUUUCUUUUAAGUAUAGCAAACACAUUCCAAAUAAUAUGCAUCUGAAGUUUUUGGUUUUGUUUUUAAAUUUUUUUUUUAGGGAUGGGUUCUGGCUGCGUAGUGGCUAGAGUGUAGUGGCUA